rnacentral:rRNA from 1 species
GAUGAACGCUGGCGGCGUGCCUAGUACAUGCAAGUCGAGCGAACGGACGAGAAGCUUGCUUCUCUGAUGUUAGCGGCGGACGGGUGAGUAACACGUGGAUAACCUACCUAUAAGACUGGGAUAACUUCGGGAAACCGGAGCUAAUACCGGAUGAUCUUUUGAACCGCAUGGUUCAAAAGUGAAAGACGGUCUUGCUGUCACUUAUAGAUGGAUCCGCGCUGCAUUGGCUAGUUGGUAAGGUAACGGCUUACCAAGGGAACGAUGCAUAGCCGACGUGAGAGGGUGAUAGGCCACACUGGAGCUGAGACACGGUCCAGACUCCUACGGGAGGCACCAGUAGGGAAUCUUCCGCAGUGGUCGAAAGCCUGACGGAGCAACGCCGCGUGAGUGAUGAAGGUCUUCGGAUCGUAAUACUCGGUUAUUAGGGAAGAACAUAUGUGUAAGUAACUGUGCACAUCUUGACGGUACCUAAUCAGAAAGCCACGGCUAACUACGUG